GGACCUAAAAUUGGUACUGGCCAGUCACUGCUAAAGCGCAAGCAAGAACCUUGUGACCUAAAUCGAAAGGAUUCACAGUCAAUCUUUCCUGGUGGGAUCACAAAAGAGCCCAGCACCACAAGCAUAGGCCAAGGUCAAUCGUUGGUAAAUUCACGAGCAGAAACAAAUGCUGAAACAGAGGCAGCAGCUGAUAUAUUGCACCUGAAAAGGAGGCUCUCUGCAUCACAGCGGAGAAUCAGCGUAUUGGAAACCGUAAACAGGAAUCUCAAAGCAGGUAU